GACGAACGCUGGCGGCGUGCUUAACACAUGCAAGUCGAACGGAAAGGCCCUGCUUUUGUUGGGUGCUCGAGUGGCGAACGGGUGAGUAACACGUGAGUAACCUGCCCUUGACUUUGGGAUAACUUCAGGGAACUGGGGCUAAUACCGGAUAGGAGCUCCUGCUGCAUGUUGGGGGUUGGAAAGUUUCGGCUGUUGGGGAUGGACUCGCGGCUUAUCAGCUUGUUGGUGGGGUAGUGGCUUACCAAGGCUUUGACGGGUAGCCGGCCUGAGAGGGUGACCGGCCACAUUGGGACUGAGAUACGGCCCAGACUCCUACGGGAGGCAGCAGUGGGGAAUAUUGCACAAUGGGCGGAAGCCUGAUGCAGCAACGCCGCGUGCGGGAUGACGGCCUUCGGGUUGUAAACCGCUUUCGCCGGUGACGAAGCGUGAGUGACGGUAAUGGGUAAAGAAGCACCGGCUAACUACGUG
rnacentral:rRNA from 1 species